CCUACGGGUGGCUGCAGUGAGGAAUAUUGGUCAAUGGCCGGAAGGCUGAACCAGCCAAGCCGCGUGAAGGACGAAGGUGCCAAGCAUUGUAAACUUCUUUUGUCAAGGGACAAAAUCAGGCUCGAGAGCCUGACCGAGGGUACUUGAAGAAAAAGCAUCGGCUAACUCCGUGCCAGCAGCCGCGGUAAUACGGAGGAUGCGAGCGUUAUCCGGAUUUAUUGGGUGUAAAGGGGGCGCAGACGGCGAUGCAAGCCAGGAGUGAAAGCCCGGGGCCCAACCCCGGGACGGCUCUUGGAACUGCGUGGCUAGAGUGCAGGAGGGGCAGGCGGAAUUCCUGGUGUAGCGGUGAAAUGCGUAGAUAUCAGGAGGAACACCGGUGGCGAAGGCGGCCUGCUGGACUGCAACUGACGUUGAGGCCCGAAAGCGUGGGGAGCAAACAGGAUUAGAUACCCUUGUAGUC
rnacentral:rRNA from 1 species